GGGGCUAAACCAUGCACCGAAGCUGCGGCAGCGACACUGUGUGUUGUUGGGUAGGGGAGCGUUCUGUAAGCCUGCGAAGGUGGCCUGUGAGGGUUGCUGGAGGUAUCAGAAGUGCGAAUGCUGACAUAAGUAACGAUAAAGCGGGUGAAAAGCCCGCUCGCCGGAAGACCAAGGGUUCCUGUCCAACGUUAAUCGGGGCAGGGUGAGUCGACCCCUAAGGCGAGGCCGAAAGGCGUAGUCGAUGGGAAACGGGUUAAUAUUCCCGUACUUGGUGUUACUGCGAAGGGGGGACGGAGAAGGCUAUGUUGGCCGGGCGACGGUUGUCCCGGUUUAAGCGUGUAGGUGUGUGUUCCAGGUAAAUCCGGUUCACUUUAACACUGAGGCGUGACGACGAGGCACUACGGUGCUGAAGCAACAAAUGCCCUGCUUCCAGGAAAAGCCUCUAAGCAUCAGGUAACAUCAAAUCGUACCCCAAACCGACACAGGUGGUCAGGUAGAGAAUACCAAGGCGCUUGAGAGAACUCGGGUGAAGGAACUAGGCAAAAUGGUGCCGUAACUUCGGGAGAAGGCACGCUGACACGUAGGUGAAGUGAUUUACUCAUGGAGCUGAAGUCAGUCGAAGAUACCAGCUGGCUGCAACUGUUUAUUAAAAACACAGCACUGUGCAAACACGAAAGUGGACGUAUACGGUGUGACGCCUGCCCGGUGCCGGAAGGUUAAUUGAUGGGGUCAGCGCAAGCGAAGCUCCUGAUCGAAGCCCCGGUAAACGGCGGCCGUAACUAUAACGGUCCUAAGGUAGCGAAAUUCCUUGUCGGGUAAGUUCCGACCUGCACGAAUGGCGUAAUGAUGGCCAGGCUGUCUCCACCCGAGACUCAGUGAAAUUGAACUCGCUGUGAAGAUGCAGUGUACCCGCGGCAAGACGGAAAGACCCCGUGAACCUUUACUAUAGCUUGACACUGAACAUUGAGCCUUGAUGUGUAGGAUAGGUGGGAGGCUUUGAAGUGUGGACGCCAGUCUGCAUGGAGCCGACCUUGAAAUACCACCCUUUAAUGUUUGAUGUUCUAACGUGGACCCGUUACCCGGGUUGCGGACAGUGUCUGGUGGGUAGUUUGACUGGGGCGGUCUCCUCCUAAAGAGUAACGGAGGAGCACGAAGGUUGGCUAAUCCUGGUCGGACAUCAGGAGGUUAGUGCAAUGGCAUAAGCCAGCUUGACUGCGAGCGUGACGGCGCGAGCAGGUGCGAAAGCAGGUCAUAGUGAUCCGGUGGUUCUGAAUGGAAGGGCCAUCGCUCAACGGAUAAAAGGUACUCCGGGGAUAACAGGCUGAUACCGCCCAAGAGUUCAUAUCGACGGCGGUGUUUGGCACCUCGAUGUCGGCUCAUCACAUCCUGGGGCUGAAGUAGGUCCCAAGGGUAUGGCUGUUCGCCAUUUAAAGUGGUACGCGAGCUGGGUUUAGAACGUCGUGAGACAGUUCGGUCCCUAUCUGCCGUGGGCGCUGGAGAACUGAGGGGGGCUGCUCCUAGUACGAGAGGACCGGAGUGGACGCAUCACUGGUGUUCGGGUUGUCAUGCCAAUGGCACUGCCCGGUAGCUAAAUGCGGAAGAGAUAAGUGCUGAAAGCAUCUAAGCACGAAACUUGCCCCGAG
rnacentral:rRNA from 1 species